AAAAAUUGCUACAAUUCAAAUUAGGUGUUAAUUAGGUAAAUUAUACAUUUUCUAUCGACAAUCGCGAAUUAAACGUGUAAUAAAUAAUUUUUAUGUCUAUAUUAUACAGUGUUAAAAUGUAAUAAGUGGUGUGUAGAGGAAAUGUUAGUAUAUUACUCGCGUAUAUAGUAUAUUUAGGACGUAGGUAUAUUGCAAUAACCAUUUAGAUUUUAUAUUAAAAAUUAAAAAUUUUAAUGUGGUUAAAACGAGAUUAUUGCAGAAUGUAAUAUACGUACUUAAUUUUAUAACCUUGCAGAAGUAAUUUGACGAGAGUUUAUUAAAAAUCUAAUAAAAUAUAAACACAAAAAAAAAAAAAAAAAAAUGCAUGGUAUGUGCUCAUUCGUUUAUAAUUAUACCACAUUUUCUGCUGUUUUAAGUGUUUUAAGUAAUAUCAGUUAA